GCGCCCGUAGCUCAAUUGGAUAGAGCGUCUGACUACGGAUCAGAAGGCUAGGGGUUCGAGUCCUCUCGGGCGCGCCA
rnacentral:tRNA from 1 species